rnacentral:rRNA from 1 species
GUAGGGAAUCUUCGGCAAUGGGGGCAACCCUGACCGAGCAACGCCGCGUGAGUGAAGAAGGUUUUCGGAUCGUAAAGCUCUGUUGUAAGAGAAGAACGUGUGUGAGAGUGGAAAGUUCACACAGUGACGGUAACUUACCAGAAAGGGACGGCUAACUACGUGCCAGCAGCCGCGGUAAUACGUAGGUCCCGAGCGUUGUCCGGAUUUAUUGGGCGUAAAGCGAGAGCAGGCGGUUUAAUAAGUCUGAAGUUAAAGGCAGUGGCUUAACCAUUGUUCGCUUUGGAAACUGUUAGACUUGAGUGCAGAAGGGGAGAGUGGAAUUCCAUGUGUAGCGGUGAAAUGCGUAGAUAUAUGGAGGAACACCGGUGGCGAAAGCGGCUCUCUGGUCUGUAACUGACGCUGAGGCUCGAAAGCGUGGGGAGCAAACAGGAUUAGAAACCCCUGUAGUCC